GGGAAGUUGACGUCCCUGGGAUGUCAUCACUUCAUUAUUGCGCGCACAUGUGAGAUGAGACUUUGUAUUUCAAACGUUUAUCAAGACACAGGAGAGGUCCUGUUGAAAUAUUUAUCCGUUUCACGUUCUCAAGGCCUGAAAGAUUGAUGCUAAACAACGUUUGACAUGUUUGAACGAACGUAAAUAGAUUUUUUUUUUUUACUUUUCGUCGUGACUUUUCCCUCCCCUGCCCUACAUUUUGUGUAGCCUACUGAACGCGCUAACAACAUGGAACAACUUGGAGUUAUUUGGACAUAAAUUAUGAACUUUGUCGAAAGAAACAACAUUUUUUGCGGACCUGGGAUUCCUGGAAGUGCCUUCUGAUGAAGAUUAUUAAAGGUGCAUGUCAUUGGAAGAAGCAAUUUCAUGAAUUCAUCAAGCGUAGCAUCUGGAUGCUCCUUAUUAAUCACAUCAGACCAACAAAUAUUUUUUUCAUCAUCCACAUAAGAGUCACAUCAAAGUAUUUUGUAUGUUCUCUUAUACACUAUUUUAAGCCCAGCUUUUGGAACCUUGGCUUUCCUGGAUAUAGCUACUAUGGGGAUCACUGCAUCCAGUGGGAAUGGAUACAGCUUUCGAACAAAGUUCUACAGUAAUAUUAAAAAUGUGAUCAAUACAUGUGGAUGAUCUAGUUCCUGUAGUGUUUUUAAACACCCUGGUAGGUUGAUUAUUAACCUGAACCAGAUUACAGGCGCUGGUUAUUAUGAGAAGCUUCCUCUUGAGCAGACAACUUGAUGAAUACCAGUCAAUAUUCAGGCCUCCAAGAAAGUCGACCUCUCUAUUUACAUCAUAUACACUGUCAAGCAUUUCACACACAUGAUUUAGAUACUGACUGUUAGCACUUGGUGACCUAUAGCAACACUCCAAAAUAAUAGGCUUUAGAUUAGGCAGGUGAACCUGCAUCCACAGCACUUCAAUAACACAUGACAUAACACUGUUUGUAUUCUACCAUAUUCCCAGUCUCCUUGCCAUGGUUAAAUAAGGUGGUUUGAGCUUUCAUUCUUUCGCGAAUGCUGCCAUCUAUCCACGGUUUCUAGUUUGGGUAGGUUUUAAUAGUCACUGUGGGAACAACAUCCCCUAUACACUUCCUGAUGAACUCAGUCACCCUGUCCAUGUAUACGCCAAUGUUAUUCUCAGAGGCUACCCGGAACAUAUCCCAGUCCGCAUGAUCAAAACAAUCUGGAUUCCCAUUGGUCAGACUAGUGUUGAAUAGACCUUAGUAUGGGUACUUCCUAUUUUAGUUUCAGCCUAUAGGAAGGGAGGAGCAAAUAGGAGUCGUGUUCUGAUUUGCCGAAGGGGGGGCAGGGGAGGGCCUUGAAGGCGAGUAACACUGGUCUAGUGUUUUUCCUAAGCGAGUACUACAGUCAAUGUGUUAAUUAUUUAAAAAAUGAUUUAACCUUUAUUUAACCUCUCUAGGGUAGGGGGCAGUAUUUUCACGGCCGGAUGAAAAACGUACCCAAAUUAAACGGCCUACUACUCGGGCCCAGGAACUAGAAUAUGCAUAUUAUUAGUAUAUUUGGAUAGAAAACACUCUGAAGUUUCUAAAACUGUUUGAAUGAUGUCUGAGAGUAUAAUAUAACUCAUAUGGCAGGCAAAAACCUGAGAAAAAUCUAACCAGGAAGUGAGAAUUCUGGUGCUUGUAGUCCUUUCAAGUCAUUGCCAAUCGAACACACAGUGACUUAGGGUUAAUUUUGCACUUCCUAAGGCUUCCACUAGAUGUCAACAGUCUUUAGAAUGUUGUUUGAGGCAUCUAUGAUGAACAGAGAGUGAACAAGGUGGGGAAGUUGGUGACCCAGGGAAGGACAUCAGUUCAUUGGCGCGCAUUCACGUGAGAGUUAGCUGUGUUCCAAAACGUUUUUCAAGACAAUGGAAUCGUCCGGUUGGAAUAUUAUUGAAGUUCUAAGUGAUAAAGGCCCUAAAGAUUGAUGCUUUACAACGUUUGACAUGUUUGAACAAACGUAAAUAGAACGUAUUUUUACUUUUCGUCGUGACAUUUUCCGUGCGCUUCCUACACUUGGAGUAGCUAACUGAAAGCGCUAACAACAAGGAGCUAUUUGGACAUAAAUUAUGGACUUUAUCGAACAAAGCAACAUUUAUUGUGGACCUGGGAUUCCUGGAAGUGCCUUCUGAUGAAGAUCAUCAAAGGUAAGUGAAUAUUUCUAAUGCUAUUUAAUAUUUUAGAUGACUCCAAAAUGGCGGGUAUCUGUAUUGCCUAGUGUAUUUUUCUGAGCGCAGUACUCAGAUUAUUGCAAAGUGUGCUUUCCUCUUGAAGCUUUUUUGAAAUCUGUCACAGGGUUAGCAUAAAGAUGUUCAUCUAUAAUUCUUUGAAUGACAGUUUAACCUGUUGGGGCUAGGGGGCAGUAUUUGCAUGGCCGGAUAAAAAACGUACCCGAUUUAAACUGGUUACUACUCUUGCCCAGAAACGAGAAUAUGCA
rnacentral:lncRNA from 1 species